ensembl:lncRNA
GACUAGGCAUUGUCUCUCUUUCUCUCUCUCUCCCGCACGCGCUCUCUGUAAUCCCCCCCCCCCCCCCCCCCCCUCUUCUUGCUUUGGCUUGUUGGUUUGGGAGGUGGCAGUGUCGGGGAGACGCUCAGCAGACGAGUGGGAAAACUGGAUUCUAUCUGACUAGAAAAAGACAGAAUAAGCACAAAGAGCCACGGUCAGAGGAGGUGUUGUAGAGCUUAGAGGGGGGGGGGGGGGGGGGUGGAAGGACUGUUUUCUCUCUCUCUCCCUUGCCUUCCACUCGUGGUCCCAGAAGAGGAAAUGAAGGGAGCAAACUUCACUUGACAGAAAGAAGGAGGGAGGGACACAAGACUAACUUGCGUGAACUGCUAGGUAAGCAUAAGCUGUCUGCGUGUGUCUCGCAUUCUUGCAUGUUGCCGUGCGUUUGUCUUUGCACUCUGCCAGAUGGAGGAAAUCAGUACGUUUUUUGAAAGGUGUGAAUAUGAAUGCGCACAUUGUCUAGGCCACGGAUAGAACCGCCACCACCAGCAAUAGGAGACGUGUGAGAGACUGAACGCAUUCUUCCUCCUGGAACAGGUCCGAGGACCUGGUGUCCAUGGGACCCUGUUGUAGCACAAGCAGUUUUUGUUUGGCGCUGGAAUCGGCCUACCCUGUCCCCUAAGCCUGACUCCAUUUUGAUCACAGGUGAGGACAGACCGCCCUUUGCGGACACGGCGCUGUUCAGCAUCGUUGCCACUGGCUCGUGCGGUACUGGCCCACUGGUAUGUGUCUCUUCUUAUUCCCUUCUGCUUCCCUCUCCAUUCACUGUCCACCUUAUCACUUCACACAAGCCAAACAGCCGUUUGUGCCUCUCUCACACUAAUGGUUUUGAUGCGUAGACUUUACGACUUGAUGCUGAUAUAUUGUGUGAUCAGAUCCUCUUGGCCAUACAAAUGAAUAAAAGUCCGAUCUUCGCUCCCACACACCUCUGAAUCCCAGUGUCCUCACAUACAUUGAAGUAUUUUUUUUCCUUAUAAACAGCUACGGUUCCUUUGAAACUUUCAAGCAUGUAAUAAAACACAAAUAAUUCCAAUUGCGACAGCUGCAAAAUUGGCCUUUGUGCUGAAAAGUUGUGAGGCGUGAUGUAAAUGUUUACAUUUGAGUUAGCUCUGACUCUUGCCUUCUGUAGGAUCCCAAGUAAAUACAGUAUGCAUACAUGCAGACCGCAGAAUAGAUAGUCAGAGUUAUCAGAGUAAUGAAAAUGUCUGUUUGCUCUUGCAACAUUCUAUUUUCACUCAUAUUCCGCAAUGUUUCAAACAUCUCAAAUGGUUUUCCAACAGUCGUUUUCAUCAAAAUCAAAAUCCGUAUCAAAAUAUGAUCAAUAUAUUUCAAAAUAACUGUUACACUGUCAAGAUGCAGAUUUCAUGACAGUAUUUCUCAGUACUUGGUCUAUUGUUUGAUCAUAUCGGUUGAUAAAUGUCAGAGGGGAGUGGCAGAACCCUGUGUAUUUUGCUACAUUGAAUUGCAGCUUGUUGCAUUCAGAUAUUUUUGUAUUCUGGCACAAGAACCCUAAUGGAUAAUGGAUAUUUGGUGCAGUGCUCCUUUUUGAAUCUGCAUGGGCAAGCCAAUAGGGUUUUGAACGAUUUCACACAGACCAGAUUUUAUGAGUUGUUGUGUAAUCGCAAUAACUCGUAUAGUAAAAUCAACAUAUUUGAUUAAAAUCAACGUAUUUGAACAGAAUGACAGGAUUGGGAUAAUAACACAUGUCAAGGUCGGUAAAAAACAGCAUAGCAACAUUUUUAUAUAGUCAUGUACUUUUUUCUUCCAAGCGAAGAAACUAUGUAUGUCACAACUUUGAUGUGUACUUUAAGACUUUAUAAACACUUUAAUUUAAUUCAUUCCUUUUGAAAGUUUGAUUAGGACAGAGGUUUAAGUUGCUGGAAUUUUAAGGUGACCUUCAAACCUGAAAAUAUCCCAGCAGUUACAGACUGUACAGAAUUAUGAUACUAAUGUGAUCUGUAUUGCUGUUCUAUACUAAAAAUGACAGUCUUUACAACAUUUAUCUGGCGAAUUGUACACCAGGUAUAUGCUAAAAAUGUUUUCUUUUCAAAGAAUUUGAAGUAACAGAACUAUUGCUCAUUAUAACCAUUGAACCAUCAUAGUUGAGGCAAACUACCUUCAUAGCAAGAGAGGUGUGUUGCCCCAUAGGUGUCUUAUAUGUCCUUCAUAUGAUGUUGUAUAGUCUGUAUGACAUUGUCCCACUUUGUAGCACAAUAUGAUACUUUUGACCCGACCCUCAUCUGGUCCAUUGCAAGUCAUUUGUGAAUUGGAUUAUGUUGUAUUACUUCCUCCUAAAUUAUUAGUUUGGUUUGUAAAGUGUCGUGUUUCACUUGGACAACUUUUUUUUUUCAUUUAAUUUUUGAAGUGAAAGAUACUGUGAGUUUUAGUAUGUGUGAUAAAAGGUCAGCGCUUACAAUUUCUUUCCAUUCACACAAAGUUGGAUCGCAUGUGGUACACUGUCUAAGCCUUUUAACAUGUUGUAAUGAUUCUUGUUUCUUUUUUGGUAAUUUUUUAUUUAUUUUUUACUCACUGCUUAAAACUCUGUUCCAACGUGGAAGGGGAAAUGCCAGCUGCCACAAACCCGUAGAUCCGAACUUGUGGUGACUGGCAACACAAGCUCGUGUCUAUAGGUAUGUGUCUGCAGGGCCAGGACACCACACCGGGCUGCCAGAUCGGGCCUUACUCACCUUCCAGGGGCUCAGGCAGGCCUUACCGUACGUGUCUGGUGCACAUCCAGCAAAAGUCCGCUUGUUUAAGGAGACGCGGUUGAGGACAUGGGCAUUGAAUGUGAACCUGACUUACUAGGGCCACGGGUUGGGGACUCUUUGGGCGUACGCUCUUGGAUGCCUGUUCCCCCCGCCCUUUCGUACCUCAGUCCACCCCGCCCAGGCUAAGCGCUAACCUCAGUGGCCACACCCUCUCUGCGGCGUGCUCCCAGGC